rnacentral:lncRNA from 10 species
GAAGACUGAUAUUUUAUAUCAUGGAGAAAAUUUGAGAUUUAAAGCCCUUGUGUGUUCCUACAAAAACAAGGUCCUUAGAGUCCACCUCUAAGAACAAAGAUGGUACCCAUUCACUCCAACCUAAAGCUCUUCGACUACAGCAAGAUGGCUGAAUUGUCUCCCCCCAAAUUCAGAUGCUGAAGUCCUUACUCCCAGUACCUCAAAAUCCGACUGUAGGUGGAGUUAGUGUCUUUAAAGAGGUAAUUAAAUUAAAGGAGAUCAGUAGGAUGGGCCUGAAUCCAGUGACUGGUGUCCUUAUAAGAAGAGGAGGUUAGGACACAAAAACACAGAGAAGACCAUGUGAAGACACAGGGAGAAGAUAUCCAUUUGCAAAGCAAAGGAUGGGGCUCGGAAAAACCUACCCUGCCAAUACCUUGAGCUGGUACUCCUUGCCUCCAGAAUCGUGAAAAAAUAAAUUCCUGUUGUUU